rnacentral:rRNA from 1 species
UUUGGUGGCGAUAGCGAAGAGGUCACACCCGUUCCCAUACCGAACACGGAAGUUAAGCUCUUCAGCGCCGAUGGUAGUUGGGGGUCUCCCCCUGUGAGAGUAGGACGCC